UUGCUAGAGAUGAUUAGUGGCGGACGGGUGAGUAACAUUUAGGAAUCUACCUAGUAGUGGGGGAUAGCUCGGGGAAACUCGAAUUAAUACCGCAUACGACCUACGGGUGAAAGGGGGCGCAAGCUCUUGCUAUUAGAUGAGCCUAAAUCAGAUUAGCUAGUUGGUGGGGUAAAGGCCCACCAAGGCGACGAUCUGUAACUGGUCUGAGAGGAUGAUCAGUCACACCGGAACUGAGACACGGUCCGGACUCCUACGGGAGGCAGCAGUGGGGAAUAUUGGACAAUGGGGGCAACCCUGAUCCAGCCAUGCCGCGUGUGUGAAGAAGGCCUUUUGGUUGUAAAGCACUUUAAGCAGGGAGGAGAGGCUAAUGGUUAAUACCCAUUAGAUUAGACGUUACCUGCAGAAUAAGCACCGGCUAACUCUGUGCCAGCAGCCGCGGUAAUACAGAGGGUGCGAGCGUUAAUCGGAAUUACUGGGCGUAAAGCGAGUGUAGGUGGCUCAUUAAGUCACAUGUGAAAUCCCCGGGCUUAACCUGGGAACUGCAUGUGAUACUGGUGGUGCUAGAAUAUGUGAGAGGGAAGUAGAAUUCCAGGUGUAGCGGUGAAAUGCGUAGAGAUCUGGAGGAAUACCGAUGGCGAAGGCAGCUUCCUGG
rnacentral:rRNA from 1 species